CCCCGCCGUACCAAGACCAUUUCUACGGCGGUAAGAAGCAGCAGGAGAUGUGCUUUGUGUGCAGCUUGGGGAUGGAGAAGAGCAAGGAUUGCAGUUGCAGCUUCGGUAGUUUGGACAUUAAUGGCGGAAGCCAGAGCUCGACAGCUGGCAGCAGCAGGAGAUGUGCUUCGUUUGCAGCUUGGGGAUGGAUAAGAGCAAGGAUUGCAGUUGCAGCGUCGGUAGUUUGGACAUUAAUGGCGGGAGCCAGAGCUCGACAGCU
rnacentral:lncRNA from 1 species